rnacentral:lncRNA from 10 species
AGAAACCAUCUAGAGAACCUCUGAACACAGCCAUCAGUGUGUAUAGAUGUUAAAGCAAGGAAGAUCGAUAGUAGACAGCAGGAAGAACUUCCUGGUGAUGUUGCUGAUGAUGGAGCUGGAGGCUGGGCUGGACGAUGGUCCGAGGACAGCGACCACCCCCUUGGGGAGGAUCUGACACACUGCAGCCAGCGGCAGGGACAGGGAAAG